AUUGAACGCUAGCGGGAUGCCUUACACAUGCAAGUCGAACGGAGUGGCGAACGGGUGAGUAAUGUAUCGGAACGUGCCCAGUAGCGGGGGAUACCUCCGCUCAAGCGUAGCUAAUACCGCAUACUAUUGGCGCGGCAGCUAGCGGAUUAGCUAGUUGGUGGGGUAACGUAUCCACAAGGCGACGAUCCGUCGCUGGUUUGAGAGGACGACCAGCCACACUGGGACUGAGACACGGCCCAGACUCCUACGGGAGGCAGCAGUGGGGAAUUGUGGACAAUGGGGGAAACCCUGAUCCAGCCAUCCCGCGUGUGUGAUGAAGGCCUUCGGGUUGUAAAGCACUUUUGGCAGGAAAGCGGUACCUGCAGAAUAAGCACCGGCUAACUACGUGCCAGCCGCCGCGAUAAUAC
rnacentral:rRNA from 1 species